rnacentral:rRNA from 1 species
GACGGAGGAUGCAAGUGUUAUCCGGAAUCACUGGGCGUAAAGCGUCUGUAGGUGGUUCGAAAAGUCCACUGUUAAAAAUUGAGGCUUAACUUCAAAGAAGCCGUGGAAACUUUCAAACUAGAGUAUGGUAGGGGUAGAGGGAAUUUCCAGUGGAGCGGUGAAAUGCGUAGAUAUUGGAAAGACCACCGAUGGCGAAGGCACUCUACUGGGCCAUUACUGACACUGAGAGACGAAAGCUAGGGGAGCAAAUGGG